rnacentral:rRNA from 1 species
AGAGUUUGAUCCUGGCUCAGAUUGAACGCUGGCGGCAUGCCUUACACAUGCAAGUCGAACGGUAACAGGUCUUCGGAUGCUGACGAGUGGCGAACGGGUGAGUAAUACAUCGGAACGUGCCCGAGAGUGGGGGAUAACGGAGCGAAAGCUUUGCUAAUACCGCAUACGAUCUACGGAUGAAAGCAGGGGACCGCAAGGCCUUGCGCUCAUGGAGCGGCCGAUGGCAGAUUAGGUAGUUGGUGGGAUAAAAGCUUACCAAGCCGACGAUCUGUAGCUGGUCUGAGAGGACGACCAGCCACACUGGGACUGAGACACGGCCCAGACUCCUACGGGAGGCAGCAGUGGGGAAUUUUGGACAAUGGGCGCAAGCCCGAUCCAGCCACGCCGCGUGCAGGAUGAAGGCCUUCGGG